CUCCCGGCGAGGGGCGGGGCUGGGUGGCAGCGUGCAGGUGGCCAAGCUCCUGCCCGCGGGAGACUGGUCUCUGCGCCGCCUUCCCCGCGAUCUUGCGGUCUGGGUCCGCGCACCGUCCCCGGUGCCUGUCACUGGAGCGGGCACCUGGCGCUCCCGCGCUGCUGCGGCGCGCAGAGCUGGCUGCGGGGCUGGGGAAUCCGCGGCCACCGCCUCUAAUCCGCCCUUAAGUAGUCUCCGCCUGCGUCACGCCAGGUCGGCGGAGGGGAGCAGAGCGCGGCGUGCCGCUGUCGCCGAGCGUCGGAGCCCGAGGGGCCGUGGCCGCGCGCUGCGGGGGGGGGGGGGGGGGAGGAGACGGUCUGGAGUCCCCCGCUGCGCCGGGGAUGGGGAGACCAAGGACUGCAGCGCCCCUUGGGGCUUCUGGCGCUCCCAGGUAGCCUCACCUGGGCCGUCGGCCUCCCGCAGGAGGAGCAGAGUCGUUGGUUCCACAAGAACCUGUUAACAACUCGACUCUAAAUAGCUGGUCUUCCAGAUUGCUGAUUUUCAAAGGGGGAUGUUAGAAUUGCCUAGGGCUGGGCUGCCUAAUAGAAAUCCAAUCUGGGAUCCCACCCUUGAAGAGGAACAAAGCUGUAUUUAGUGAAACCUUACUCUAUUGCCCAGCUGCUGGGAUGACGAAAGACAAGCAGCCUCCUAGCCUAGUAGUUUGGAGAAUGCCCACUUGUUCUUCAAAGAGAGAUGUACAAUGCCAGGAAUUUGCAUGAAAAGCAUUUCUUGCUUCUGCCAUUACAGUCUAAAUGAUCUCUAGCUAACAGCUGAAACCCAAGAAUGCUGAAGUGGGAGCAGCGUCUGACUUUGGGAUUAUCUCAUUCACAUCUCCUUUAUAUAUUUUAGUUCAGCUGUUGAACUCUCUCAAAAUGGCAGUCUGAAAACAACGAACUAUUACAGAUGAAACUAAGCUAUAUGUGUAUACUUCCUAAGGCUUUGUCUUCCUAUGAGGAAUCAGAAAGCUGCUAUUUUUCAGGUAUUAGGGAUCUGUGUUUCUAAACUCUUGGUUAAGAAUUUAAAUAACUUUUAUUUUUCUUUCUUUCUUUUUUUUGA